rnacentral:rRNA from 1 species
GACGAACGCUGGCGGCGUGCUUAACACAUGCAAGUCGAACGGAAAGGCCCUGCUUUUGUGGGGUGCUCGAGUGGCGAACGGGUGAGUAACACGUGAGUAACCUACCCUUGACUUUGGGAUAACUUCAGGAAACUGGGGCUAAUACCGGAUAGGAGCUCCUGCUGCAUGGUGGGGGUUGGAAAGUUUCGGCGGUUGGGGAUGGACUCGCGGCUUAUCAGCUUGUUGGUGGGGUAGUGGCUUACCAAGGCUUUGGCGGGUAGCCGGCCUGAGAGGGUGACCGGCCACAUUGGGACUGAGAUACGGCCCAGACUCCUACGGGAGGCAGCAGUGGGGAAUAUUGCACAAUGGGCGGAAGCCUGAUGCAGCAACGCCGCGUGCGGGAUGACGGCCUUCGGGUUGUAAACCGCUUUCGCCUGUGACGAAGCGUGAGUGACGGUAAUGGGUAAAGAAGCACCGGCUAACUACGUG